UACGUAGGGUGCAGGCGUUAAUCGGAAUUACUGGGCGUAAAGCGCGUGUAGGCGGUUGCCCAAGUCGGGUGUGAAAGCCUUGAGCUCAACUCAAGAAAUGCACUCGGUACUGGGUGACUAGAGGACCGGAGAGGAUAGUGGAAUUCCCAGUGUAGUGGUGAAAUACGUAGAGAUUGGGAAGAACACCAGUGGCGAAGGCGGCUAUCUGGACGGUUUCUGACGCUAAGACGCGAAAGCGUGGGGAGCAAACAGG
rnacentral:rRNA from 1 species